rnacentral:rRNA from 1 species
AUGCACCACCACAAGCCAUUAAAGGGUCAAGGAUCUCGUGAAAUUGAUUGGCAAAAGCGCUAUAAAUUGAUCAAAGGGAUUUGCGCAGGCUUACAUUACCUCCACAAGGGUCGUGCAAAUUGUCCAAUUGUUCAUUUGAAUUUAAGCCCGUCAAAUGUAUUGUUGGACGAGAACUACAUACCACGCAUCACAGGGUUCGAUUUUUCCAAGCUCAUUGGUGAAAAGAACACCAAAUCCGUGGUACUUAAGCUGAAUGGACCCAUAGCUUACCUGCCACCGGAUUUCCUGCACUCCAAGGGUCCUGACCUCAAAUAUCUAGCUACGGUAGACAUAUACAGCUUGGGUCUUAUCAUUCUAGAGAUCGUAACGCAGCAAGAGAUCAAAGGCAACCAUGGAGUGCUUAUUAAGAGCAUAGAGGAAAACUGGAGGGAAGAGUCACAAAUAACACGGUUGUAUACCUCACUAGAAGCUGACGAACUGCAGCAAGUAAAAAUGUGCAUUGAUAUUGGCCUAUACUGCGUCCAGUCAAAGCCUGAAAAGAGACCUACGGCUGAGGACAUCAUGCUCUGGCUUGAUAAAGGGAUCAAACCAGUCCCAACCCCAAGAGCAGGUGGAGGAGUGUCAAGACCUACAGUCUCAGUUCCAAGGGCAGGUCCAGGAGUGCCAAGACCUCCUGCCCCCACUAAUAUCACCCAUGCAGAUGACCGCAUCCAAGGGAAACGAGAAGCCGGAGGGAUUCAUAAAACGAAUCUUCAGAAGAAAGUAGCCACCUGA